UACGUAGGGUGCAAGCGUUGUCCGGAAUUAUUGGGCGUAAAGAGCGUGUAGGCGGCCCCGUUAGUCCGCUGUGAAAGUCCAGGGCUCAACCCUGGAAUGCCGGUGGAUACUGCGGGGCUAGAGUCCGGAAGGGGCGAGUGGAAUUCCUGGUGUAGCGGUGAAAUGCGUAGAUAUUGGGAGGAACACCAGUGGCGAAGGCGGCUCACUGGACCGGUACUGACGCUGAUGCGCGAAAGCGUGGGGAGCAAACGGG
rnacentral:rRNA from 1 species